rnacentral:rRNA from 1 species
CACAGAGGGGGCAAGCGUUGUUCGGAAUUACUGGGCGUAAAGGGCGCGUAGGCGGCCUUCUAAGUCGAACGUGAAAUCCCUGGGCUCAACCCAGGAACUGCGUCCGAGACUGAAAGGCUCGAAUCCGGGAGAGGGAUGUGGAAUUCCAGGUGUAGCGGUGAAAUGCGUAGAUAUCUGGAGGAACAUCGGUGGCGAAGGCGGCAUCCUGGACCGGCAUUGACGCUGAGGAGCGAAAGCCAGGGGAGCAAACGGG